UACGUAGGGUGCAAGCGUUUGUCCGGAUUUACUGGGCGUAAAGGAUGCGUAGGCGGAUAUAUAAGUCAGAUGUGAAAUACCCGGGCUCAACUUGGGUGCUGCAUUUGAAAACUGUAUAUCUAGAGUGCGGGAGAGGUAAGUGGAAUUCCUAGUGUAGCGGUGAAAAUGCGUAGAGAUUAGGAAGAACACCAGUGGCGAAGGCGACUUACUGGACCGUAACUGACGCUGAGGCAUGAAAGCGUGGGGGAGCAAACAGG
rnacentral:rRNA from 1 species